AAAAAGGCUCUUUUCAGAGCCACACACUCCCUGCAAAGAGUUGCAU
rfam:Stegodyphus mimosarum contig45556, whole genome shotgun sequence.